CCUCAUCCUCUAAACUCAUCUAUCUGCAGUAAGGUCACUUUCCAAGUUCAAAGAUCAUUCUCAGCACACACUGAGAACAUGCUGGGGACCCUCUGCACUCUUAUCACUGCUUUAACAUGUAUGUAAGGUGUGAGAGGAGCGACUGUGGUGACACAGACGCCUCCUGUUGUGACAGUGAGGAAAGGAGAAACGGCCACCAUGGACUGUAACUUGGGGAGUGUUACUAACAGCGCUGCCCUAUGGUACAGACAGAUCCCAGGAGAAGUUCCUCUAUAUAUGCUCAGGUUUUAUCAUGGCUGGAGUGCACCCGAAUAUGACACUGGGUUCCCCUCUUCAAGACACACGGCAACUCAUCAGUCAACAUCAGAUUACCGUUUUAGAAUUAGCAAUGUUGAAGAAGGAGAUUCUGCAGUUUAUUACUGUAGCACAUGGGAUGACUCUGCUAAAGAGUACGUAUUCGGACCGGGAACCAAGCUGUUUGUCACAGGCUCCAGUCUCCCUCUUCCUGUCCUGACUGUUUUCCCUCCAUCCAAGGCUGAGCUCCAGUCCAACAAAGCCACUCUGCUCUGUCUGUCCACUCAGUCUGGACCUUUUGCUGAUGUGAACUGGUUGGUUGAUGGGAGUCCAGUAAGCAGUGGGAUCUCUACCAGCACUGCUGUUCAGAAACCAGACCAGACUUUCCACAUCAGCAGUUCUCUGUCCAUCCAGACAUCAGACUGGAACAUGAACAAGGUCUACGCCUGUAAAGUGUCUCUGGGCUCCCAGACUGCAGAGAAAACCAUCAACAAGUCAGAAUGUCCUGCUGAAGAAUAACAGAAGAUCAUAAUCAUCAUUUAUAAUCUGUUUUGUUUCUGUUUGCUUCUUACAUGAUUUAGAAAACUUGCUUCUCUAUUUAGUUUUUAUUUGACAACUAUUGUUCUCUUGGCCUUCUUUUGCAUUAAUAAAUCAUUAUUACAUUGGAAAUAA